ACCAAUAAAAAAAAUCAAACUUGAAUUAUUUUUAAUACUUUAUUAAAAUGUAAUGAUGAAAGGGAACAUUUAUUUUUUUCAUGUUUAAAUAUAAAAUAUGUGCAUUAAAAUGAUGAUAAGUGCUAUGAAAAAGAUAUUAAUUUAUGCAUUAUUUAGCACUUAUCAUGUUCCAUAUAGAUAUUUUCAUCAAGAUAUCCAUUCAGGAAAGCAGUUUUCAC
rnacentral:lncRNA from 1 species